GAUGAACGCUAGCGGCAGGCUUAAUACAUGCAAGUCGAGGGGCAUCAAGGUACACGAAAGUGUAUUGUUGGCGACCGGCGGACGGGUGAGUAAUAGGUAGGUAACCUACCUCAUACUGAGGCAUAGCUGGGAGAAAUUCCAGGUAAUUCCUCAUGAGGUUAUAUGACACAUGUGAUAUAAUCAAAGGUAUCGCAAGGUACUGGUAUGAGAUGGGCUUACUGACCAUUAGCUAGUUGGUGAGAUAAGAGCUCACCAAGGCGAAGAUGGUUAGGGGUUUUGAGAGAGAGAUCCCCCACAUUGGGAACUGAGAUACGGUCCAGACUCCUACGGGAGGCAGCAGUAGGGAAUAUUGGGCAAUGGGCGGAAGCCUGACCCAGCCAUGCCGCGUGAAGGAAGACGGCCUUAUGGGUUGUAAACUUCUUUACUAUGCGACUAACUAGAUUUACGAGAUAAUUCUAUAGAAUGUAGCAUAGCAAAAAGCACCGGA
rnacentral:rRNA from 1 species